CUUGAAAGGUCAAUUAUCCUAAAUCGUCCAAGAUUUUUGUCCAACACGUGAUUCUGGCCCUUCCAAAGGACCAAUGCUGCAUCAAUAUAAUGAUCCAACAUCGAACUGUUUUUUAAUAUAACAUAUUCAUGAUCGAUUGUUGUAGUUGAAUUCCCAUCAGCCAUGGCACUUAAAUUAUUGAGGCAGUAUGGUAUGAUUCCAUUGAUAUUAUUUACAGAGAGAUCCAAGAUUUGAACAUGUUUUAAUUGACACAACUGAGAGGGGAUGCUUCCAUAGAAUUGAUUGGAUUGUAGGCUCAAAUAUUGCAAAGAGUUUAGGCUUUCUCCUAUCCAAGUGGGUACAUUUCCGGACAAUAUGUUACCACUUAGGUCAAUGAAUCUCAAUCUGGUGCAAUUCCUUAAAGACAAAGGUAAUGGUCCCGAUAACACAUUGUUUCCCAAAUUCAGUGUUUCAAGUUUUGGAAAUGAUCCUAUGGAGGGUGGAAUUUUCCCAAUCAAAUUGUUACCAGCCAAACUAAAAAACACCAGAUUUUUCAUGGGAAUCAGAGGAUCAGGAAUUACUCCAGAAAAUAGGUUUUUUGAGAGGUCAAGGUAGAUGAACCGCGAAUCUAUUGUUUCAGUUUUAGAAGACAAAGGCAACGGACCGUGGAAACGAUUAGAACUUAUAUCAACACAAAGAUAAUAAGAAGAAUGAAGGUUGAAUGAAAUAUAAGGCACCGUCCCACUCAAAUUGUU
rnacentral:misc_RNA from 1 species